AUCGUUCGCGCCACAACAGAAUGAUGAGAAGCAGAGCUGCUAACGCAGCCCAGGGCCAGCAAACUGUGGCCCGUGGGCCAAGUCCAGACUGCUCUCUGUUUCUGUACAGCUCGCAAGGUUAGCUUCAGUCUUGGUUUUUUGGAUCACAUGCUCCCCAGCUGCUCCUUCUGAGGAUGCUCCCUCCUGGAACCCAUGCUGAGAGAUGCCACAUGGAACCACUGCAGUCCACAGUCCCAGCUGUGACAGCCCUUGAGUCAUCCCAACCCUGGGGUCAGACAAGAGAAGGAAGAAGCCUCUAGAUGACUCCAGCUCCCAGCUGUUCAAGUCACUCACAGCCCUUCAUUUCUUCGCAGACAUUGUAGAUGCUGUGUGUCUGUAUGUGUAUGUGUAUGUGUACUCUAAAGUCCUUACUUCCAGACUCCAUGAGCAUAAUAAAGUCAUGAUGGUUUUA